AUAAGCCACAUGUUUACUUCACAAAUAUGGGUCGAAUUAGCAAUAAAAAGCAAAUUCGAAGGGAUAUAAUGAAACAAUGACUUCCUUAUGUCUUAGAGAAGAGAAUGGAGGCCAUGAAAGAGAAGAAAGAAGCAAGGAAGAAGAGAGAAGAGAGUGAUGAAGUGAGUCAGUUCACGAACACCCGCCACCAACGGUCGUCAUCACCACCACCCUGCAUCUCUCCCUCCACCUCCACACCGUCAGGUUAUUUGAAAACGUAGCAAAAAAAAAUCACAAUAACAAUGAAGAAAUUGUGGGUGGAGUGAGUGACGAGGUGAAGGUCCUGCAACUCCUAAACUCGAUGCCAUCAGCCAGGCUGUUUCUAACAUUUUGGGUGAUGGUAACGUGACGCUGCAACGUCACCCAGAGGGUACCGACAGUAGUACCCUUUACCAUCCACAGCUGAAAGGUGACAGAAGCCAGUGGGAUCACAGCAAGAAAGAACAUGAAUUACGCAAGACUGUUGAUGGAUGGACUCCAGUCUCGGACCCCUAUAAGGCAGUCUCAGAUCCCAAUAAGGUGGUCAUCAGGACUUCAGUCUCAGAUCCCAAUAAGUAGGUCACCAGGACUCCAGCCUCAGAUCUCAAUGAGGCAGUCACCAGUAUGUUAGGGACUAAGAUGGAUGAACCAGAAUCUUCUCAAACUCUUCUGUCCCUGCACCACGAGCUGUGUAGAAAACAGAGUGCCCUGAUCAAUACCCAACUUGAAAAUGAGGUGAUAAAGAAGAAAGUAUUAUUGGCACAGCUUGAAGAGGCUCAAGCCAGAGUAAGAUUGGCAGAGCUGGAGGUGGCCAUGCCCCAGAAAAGGGAAGAACUAAACCAAAAAUGUGAUGAAUGACAAUACAGUAAUAUGUAAGUAAGACUGGCCGUUUGGUUUGUUUUGCAAAUCCUAUGAACAUCUCUCAGUAUUAUAUGAUUCUGGGCAAUUCAAGAUUUUUUAAAUUUAUUUGUUCAUGUUUCAAUUUUCCACACUACCCAAGAUUAUAAGUAAAAAUCAA